UAGUGUGUAGUAUGAAAGGGGGAAAUUCUGUGUAGGGAGGUUGUUUGGGUGGGUGGAUGGGUCAAACACAGGACUGUCACCCAGGAGUGCGGGG